rnacentral:rRNA from 1 species
GACGAACGCUGGCGGCGUGCUUAACACAUGCAAGUCGAACGGAAAGGCCCUGCUUUUGUGGGGUGCUCGAGUGGCGAACGGGUGUGUAACACGUGAGUAACCUGCCCUUGACUUUGGGAUAACUUCAGGAAACUGGGGCUAAUACCGGAUAGGAGCUCCUGCUGCAUGGUGGGGGUUGGAAAGUUUCGGCGGUUGGGGAUGGACUCGCGGGUUAUCAGCUUGUUGGUGGGGUAGUGGCUUACCAAGGCUUUGACGGGUAGCCGGCCUGAGAGGGUGACCGGCCACAUUGGGACUGCGAUAGGGCCCAGACUCCUACGGGAGGCAGCAGUGGGGAAUAUUGUACAAUGGGCGGAAGCCUGAUGCAGCAACGCCGCGUGCGGGAUGACGGCCUUCGGGUUGUAAACCGCUUUCGCCUGUGACGAAGCGUGAGUGACUGUAAUGGGUAAAGAAGCACCGGCUAACUACGUG